rnacentral:rRNA from 1 species
CCUUACACAUGCAAGUUGCACGGAAACUUUUAAAGUUUUAGUAGCGGACGGGUGAGUAACGCGUGAGAAUUUACCUCUAGGAGGGGAACAACACUUAGAAAUGAGUGCUAAUGCCCCAUAUGCUAUUUAGUGAAAAGGAUAACAUCCGCCUGGAGAAAAGCUCGCGUCUGAUUAGCUAGUUGGUGGGGUAAUAGCCUACCAAGGCGACGAUCAGUAGCUGGUUUGAGAGGAUGAUCAGCCACACUGGAACUGAGACACGGUCCAGACUCC